GAUGAACGCUGGCGGCGUGCUUAACACAUGCAAGUCGAACGAAGCAUUUAAGACGGAUUCUUUCGGGAUGAAGACUUUUAUGACUGAGUGGCGGACGGGUGAGUAACGCGUGGGUAACCUGCCUCACACAGGGGGAUAGCAGUUGGAAACGGCUGAUAAUACCGCAUAAGCGCACAGUACCGCAUGGUACAGUGUGAAAAACUCCGGUGGUGUGAGAUGGACCCGCGUCUGAUUAGCUGGUUGGAGGGGUAAACGGCCCACCAAGGCGACGAUCAGUAGCCGGUCUGAGAGGAUGAACGGCCACACUGGAACUGAGACACGGGUCCAGGACUCCUACGGGAGCAGCAGUGGGGAAUCUUCCGGCAAUGGGCGAAAGCCUGACGGAGCAACGCCGCGUGAGUGAUGACGGCCUC
rnacentral:rRNA from 1 species